GACGAACGUUGGCGGCGUGCUUAAUACAUGCAAGUCAACUGAAGCACCGGUAGUAAUACUGGUGUGGAGGUGGCGCACGGGUGAGUAACACGUAGGUAAUCUGCCUUCAGGCCUGACAUAACCCCGAGAAAUCGGGGCUAAUAGCAGAUGAUGCAGCGGCUUGACAUCAAGACAGUUGUUAAAGCUUCGGCGCCUGAAGAUGAGCCUGCGUCUGAUUAGCUAGUUGGCGGAGUAAUAGCCCACCAAGGCGACGAUCAGUAGCUGGUCUGAGAGGAUGAUCAGCCACACUGGAACUGAGACACGGUCCAGACUCCUACGGGAGGCAGCAGUAAGGAAUAUUGCUCAAUGGGAGAAAUCCUGAAGCAGCAACGCCGCGUGAGGGAUGAAGGGCUUUUGCUCGUAAACCUCUGUAGUGAGGGAAAAAUUUCCAUUCUAUGGAAUAUGAUGGUACCUC
rnacentral:rRNA from 1 species